UUUCAAAGAUUGAGCCUUUCUCUCUUCCUUUCCUAUAAGUGUAAUACGAAAUAGAUGGUAAAGGUGAGGCAGGAAACAACACACGCCAUUCUAAUGGGGUAAAUAUCCUUGAUUAUGAAGUAAUUUACCUCCCCCAGGUUUGUGUGACGUUCCAGGGGUUUCUUUCGUUGGGGUACAGCAUUAUGUAUUCUGCUUGAACAGCAGGGGACACUGCAGUACCGUGCAUUGAACCACAACUGAAGUGCUGAAGAAACUUCAUAGCUGCUGUGCAGAGUCAUGCCCGCUGAAUGCUAUGACCCAGUCCUUCAUAUUUUACUAGAAGAACAUUCAGAGAUUACCUCUUACCCCCCCCACACACACACAAUUAUUAAAUUGUGUGUGUGUGUGUGUGGGGGGGGGGGCAGGGCUAAGCUGUGUUCUUUCUUUUGGGAUUGGAUCAAAUUCAUUCUGCAAAAUUUUACGUACAUGCUAGACAACUAAUCAGUACUUGGUUUUUAUUGCUCACAGGUUUCUCACUCAAAUAACCGCUUGCUACGUUCCUGACAGAUGAUGAAAAAAAGUUGAUAGUCAUGAAAGCGUUUAACCACCUCAAGCAGGCUACUCUCCUCUGCCUUAUUGUUUAUGUGAUUUAUUGUCAUUUUAUAAUGCGGUAAUAUCCGUCGUUUUUCCAUCUUGAUGUUCUUUUUAGUUGUUUCUUCUCUAACAAAAGUCACAUAUCCAAUAAACGUUUCACAGGGACACAAAUUUUGAUCGGGUAGGUGGAAUUGCAUUAAUACGACAUCGAUCCCCUGCCAGCCAAGUGUUUCCAGGAGAUCACACAACUCCGCAGCCCCGCUGUCGUCGGCUGGCUCAGAAGUGGCCGUUCUAGCAUCGUCUGUCGAUCCCACUCUCGGGAGCCUUUGGUGAAGGAUGAUGUUAGCGGUGAAUGACUUCUGAAAUUUAACCGGAUGUUCGAUUUGAACGUGGUGUUACCUCUCUGUAAUCUUACUCUCAGCUGGAAGGGAAUGUGAAUAGAGGGAGAACAACAGCCUGUUGUCGAUACAAACAGGAGCGUAGAGAGGAUGCAAGUAAAGGGCUUGAAAGAUGGGUUGAAGGAAAAAACAAGCAGCCAUGGUAAAGGGAAGACUGAGUGAAACGGCUAUCAGCGAGCUGUCUCUCUAUCAAGUGUCUGUCUCCUUCCGCCUUUCCGAUGGGUUCCCAUACGUAAUGGGAAAUGCAGUGCAGGUAAUGAACCUGUUUAUAGACUCAUUUUUACAAAAUUCAGUAGCAGCACAAAGGUUUGGUGGAAAGGGGAAUAGAAGAUGCACAAAGGACAAUUGAGAAUUCUGCAGGGUAAAAUGUUAUUGUCAUGAAUGUGCAUACUUUGAUGGGAAAAUAUACUUGCAGGUGUACUUUGAUGUCUCUUCACACGCACUGAUUGUUGUGACCAAGAUAAUUGGGCCCCUGUCGGCUCGCGUUGCGCCAUGAAUGCUUAACACCUGCCAAACUCGGGAGUAAUGCCUCGUAAAGCCAGGCGGCCGCACAUCUUGCAAGCUCGGUUUUCUUCACUGCUAAAUUUAAUAUCACGAGCUGAGAAGAAUUUGCGAGGUGGCGUGUUGCUAGGCCAUGGCUGGUAGUUAUUGUCUCUCGCUCUACUUGUGUUGCCUGGCACUGCAUCUGCAUAAUCACAAGAGUCUCCUGAGCUUCCGCAGUGCGUUUCUAACCCAACCAGUGAUAUUUUCACGCGCUGCAGGAGUCUGGUAAGCCUUGUUGAAAUUCCAUUUGUGCAAUAAAUACCCAGCAUGAAAUUCUAUUAGUUACAAGCGGUGCAGUAACACCAUGACCUUAAUUCUCGUUGAGCUGUAACAUAAAACAUGGUAAUAGAUUCACCUGUUGUAACACAUGGUUAACUGCUUGGUAGAAGUGCAUAUGUUGAUACCAAUGUGUUUUCCUUCUUAUUGAGUGAGCCUUCAUUCAGUACUGUGUCUCCGCCCGUUCCCCCUAAAUAUUGAUCCAGUAACAGGGACAGCUGUUCUCAUGCUGGGUGCUUGUAGGGGAGAACGGUGCCAUAAAGCAUCACUAUUCGCAAUCAUGUAAGGGGUCCUCUGUAAAGACUUGUUGUAUCUUGCAUACCAUUUGCAGCUAAGCACUUUUCUCCAGACUUACCCGACAAGUCAACUUUUUGUCAUCAGAGAAACUCAUUUUGUGUUUACGGUUUCUCCCAAAGAGAUGGCGUUGUCUCAGCGAGGAUUCUCUGAUGUGUACCGUAUGUGUGCUGUUCUUUCUCUGAUUGACCGGCUGUGACUACAUGUUCUGCCUCUUUAUAACCCCCAUUGAUUCCAUGGUCGCUUUACAACGGCCACAUUGCUUUAGUGGUUCUCUACGUUGCACCCGUUCGUAACGCCUCUAAAGGGGAGAGAAGGGUGAAGGUGGAUUCUGUGAUUGCAGAGUGAGGGAGAAGAGAAACAUUGCAGUUAGUGAAGGAAGCAGGUGGAGGAGAGAGAGGUCUCCAAGUCCCUUAUGAAAACUAUUUAUGGUGUAGAUUAAAUUUGAUGGUAUUCAGCAAAUACUGCUUCUGGAACCGUGUUGAUGUAAUGUGCAAGAACCAAUACAUUGACACCACCACAAAGGAAUUUAUAAUGAAAAAAACUGAUAUGUCUACAGAUUUGAUUUAUUAAAAGUAAACAAUUUCAACUAAAUAUAUAGAUUCAGAGCUACCUGGGUGUCAAGUAGUCUGAUGCACAUGCCGCACAAAACAUCAUCAGUAUUUCCCCUAUUACUUGGGGGGGGGGGGCACGCACACACACAAACACACUCUUGCGCGCACACACAAUUGACGCACUCCCACCAGAGAGCGAGCGUCGGAAAGGUGAAACACUGUGGUCUAGGUGUGAAUCUAGCCGGCGGCCUCACUCGCUCUUAACUUCAUUGUGUCUUUGUUACAGGAAAAAUCUUCGAAACCAAAUGAAAUAGUUUUGGGCUUUCAAUGUCUGCUAAGGUCACUGAAUGUGGUGCUUUAAAAACUUGCCGGACUUUGAAUGCAACCUUCAGCACUUUUUUAAGGCGAGACACUUGGGAAAGUCUUGGUUCAAAGAAUUCUAUCUUAUAGAUGCAAACAUGAAACCCUGCCGAGCAAUCCACACCUCUGGGUUCCUUGUGCGCUCCAAUAUUAUGGAAACUUUGACCGGUCUUCCUCCAGGGCCCUUCUUUGGGGGUUGUGGGCUCGGGUCAAGGCCAUUAAACCUGGCUUAAUAAGAUGCUGAGGCCCCCCAUCCCCCCCAUGCCCACAGGUCAAUGGGAGUUAUAAGGUCCAGAGUCAGCAAAGUCACAGUCCAGUCGUGUCAGCAAACUUCAGAGAUGGUUUGCAGCGUGUCUCUGUAGUGUAUUAAUCUUCUUCACGACACUCGCUGUUGAUAUUUACCAUUGAUGGCAAUUAAGGUUGUCUUUGGUGUAUUUGUGUUCUUUCUUAUUUGAAAACAUGCAUAUUUUCCUUGAGAGGCAAAGUCCCGCCCCUUCGGAUGGCCCAUCAUGGGAACUUAUCAAUAAAAAAUAUGUAUGGUAGUCAACAGCAACAUACAAAUAUGUGUGAGAAUGUGUUUCAUUAGCUUGUGAUGCGUAACUAUAAAAAAAAGGCCGGUGUGAGAGUGUAAAGCUUUCCAUGUGAAAUCGAUUUGUUUUACUGAGUAACAAAAAAGCACAAUGUGGGUAUUUCUCAGCAUCUCUGGUUUAACAAUAUACUUGAUUACAAACUUGAUUUGCUUCUGUAGAAAUUGUGUGGCAUUUAAAAAGCUCCCUGCAUUCAUAAAGCUACAACGUCCACUUUUUGUGGCGUGAUUCCCCACCACUCUUUUUACUUUAGAUUCAUUUGUUGUCACAUGUUUUCUGAAAGCAGUUGGAAAAAGUUGGAUGGUUGGAAAAACGAGCACAGGAGUUUGAAAAGACCUGAACAUGCAUAUUGCAGAGCUGUGGCAGCUUUUCUUAUAAUUUUGUGUGAUUAUGAUAGUAUUCUAUGUCAUGUUACAAGUUGUGGACUAAAUACCAGUAACAACUAGUUAUUUUUUCAGUUACCAUGUUUGUGAUUUCU
ensembl:lncRNA